ACGAUUGCGGUGCCAAAACGGAGCGGACUGAAAAUCCGCGUGUCGAUGGUUCGAUUCCGUCCAUAGCCA
rnacentral:tRNA from 1 species